GACGAAUGCUGGCGGCGUGGAUUAGGCAUGCAAGUCGAACGGUAUCAUCCUUCGGGGGUGAGAGAGUGGCGAACUGGUGAGUAACACGUAGGUUAUCUACCCUCAAGACGGGGACAACCCAGGGAAACUUGGGCUAAUACCGGAUGUGAGCAACUUUUAGUUGUUUGAAAGGUGGCGUAAGCUGUCGCUUGGGGAUGAGCCUGCGUCCUAUUAGUUAGUUGGUGAGGUAACGGCUCACCUAGGCAAUGAUAGGUAGGCGGCCUUAACGGGUGGUCGCCCACACUGGGAUUGAGAUACGGCCCAGACUCCUACGGGAGGCAGCAGUCGAGAAUAGUCUACAAUGGUCGGAAGACUGAUAGUGCGACGCCGCGUGAACGAUGAAUCCCUUCGGGGUGUAAAGUUCUUUUAUAUGUGAGCAGUGCUUCUUAUAUUAACAGUAUGGGGAGAGAGAUAUUAGCAUAUGAAUAAGCAACGGCUAACUCCGUG
rnacentral:rRNA from 1 species